GACAGAGGGUGCAACGUUGUUCGGAUUUACUGGGCGUAAAGCGCGUGUAGGCGGCUUGGCAAGUUGGAUGUGAAAGCCCACGGCUCAACCGGUGGAAGCGCAUCCAAAACUGCUUCGCUCGAGUCUCGGAGAGGAAGGUGGAAUGCUGGUGUAGAGGUGAAAUUCGUAGAUAUCAAGCAGAACACCUGGCGGCGAAGGCGGCCU
rnacentral:rRNA from 1 species